AAGCCCCCGGGGCAGGGACCUCGCCGGCGCAGUUGUCGGGCUGGGACUGCGCGGGUGCUGCGUGAGACUUGACGUGCCUUUUAAGAGAAGAAAGAUGCGUGAAGACUGUCCUGCACUUGGUGCAUUCAUAUGGUUUUUCUCCAGCAGAAACUUUCUUGUGCAGGAACUGAUGAGAAAGAAAUGAGUUCAUUAAAAACCAAGGGAAGGAAUGAUGCCAUCCUCACCUACUGAGGCCAGGUUCCGGAAGGUCUCCAGCAUCACAUCUCUGUAGAGGUCCCUCUGAGCAGAAUCCAGCAAAGCCCACUCCUCCAGGGUGAAGUCCACAGCCACAUCCUCAAAGACCACUGAGUCCUAAGACAAACCACACAGGUGUGCAGGAGGAUUGGAGACACUGAAAGUACUGGGGAACUGGACUCAAUUCAUAAAUUCAAACAAGAUUCUGUGGUGUCCCAACACCUCCUCUAUGACGCGAAUGUUAGAUCUUUUACUUAUUCACAAUCACUUCCUAGUAAACUUCAUGGCACCACUAUCA
rnacentral:lncRNA from 1 species